GAUCAUAACUGGCAGGGGAGAUGCCAUGAUUAAGAAGAAGGUGGUUUUCCUGGGGCGAGGCUUAUCCAUUGCUCCCCAGGUGAGAUGAACUCUGUGAUUUUCCCAAGUGCAGGAAACUCAGCUUGUAAUUUGUGGUAGUGGGGGACUGCUUUUGUGCUCUCCCCUA